GACGAACGCUGGCGGCGUGCUUAACACAUGCAAGUCGAACGGAAAGGCCCUGCUUUUGUGGGGUGCUCGAGUGGCGAACGGGUGAGUAACACGUGAGUAACCUGCCCUUGACUUUGGGAUAACUUCAGGAAACUGGGGCUAAUACCGGCUAGGAGCUCCUGCUGCAUGGUGGGGGUUGGAAAGUUUCGGCGGUUGGGGAUGGACUCGCGGCGUAUCAGCUUGUUGGUGGGGUAGUGGCUUACCAAGGCUUUGACGGGUAGCCGGCCUGAGAGGGUGACCGGCCACAUUGGGACUGAGAUACGGCCCAGACUCCUACGGGAGGCAGCAGUGGGGAAUAUUGCACAAUGGGCGGAAGCCUGAUGCAGCAACGCCGCGUGCGGGAUGACGGCCUUCGGGUUGUAAACCGCUUUCGCCUGUGACGAAGCGUGAGUGACGGUAAUGGGUAAAGAAGCACCGGCUAACUACGUG
rnacentral:rRNA from 1 species